AUUUGCUCGUGUGAGUAUGGUGUUCAACAUCAAAGUCUGGUGUAUUUACCUGUGUGUGGAUGGUCUUCGGCACCAGGGAAACAGGUGUGUUUGCCU
rnacentral:pre_miRNA from 1 species